AUAUUGGACAAUGGGCGAAAGCCUGACGGAGCAACGCCGCGUGAGUGAUGAAGGGUUUCGGCUCGUAAAACUCUGUUAUUAGGGAAGAACAAAUGUGUAAGUAACUGUGAACAUCUUUAUGGUACCUAAUCAGAAAGCCACGGAUAACUACGGGCCAGCAGCCGCGGUAAUACGUAGGUGGCAAGCGUUAUCCGGAAUUAUUGGGCGUAAAGCACGCGUAGGCGGUUUCUUAAGUCUGAUGUGAAAGCCCACGGCUCAACCGUGGAGGGUCAUUGGAAACUGGGGAAACUUGAGUGCAGAAGAGGAAAGUGGAAUUCCAUGUGUAGCGGUGAAAUGCGCAGAGAUAUGGAGGAACACCAGUGGCGAAGGCGACUUUCUGGUCUGUAACUGACGCUGAUGUGCGAAAGCGUGGGGAUCAAACA
rnacentral:rRNA from 1 species